rnacentral:rRNA from 1 species
GACGAACGCUGGCGGCGUGCCUAAUGCAUGCAAGUUGAGCGAUGAAGAUUGGUGCUUGCACCAAUUUGAAGAGCAGCGAACGGGUGAGUAACGCGUGGGGAAUCUGCCUUUGAGCGGGGGACAACAUUUGGAAACGAAUGCUAAUACCGCAUAACAACUUUAAACAUAAGUUUUAAGUUUGAAAGAUGCAAUUGCAUCACUCAAAGAUGAUCCCGCGUUGUAUUAGCUAGUUGGUGAGGUAAAGGCUCACCAAGGCGAUGAUACAUAGCCGACCUGAGAGGGUGAUCGGCCACAUUGGGACUGAGACACGGCCCAAACUCCUACGGGAGGCAGCAGUAGGGAAUCUUCGGCAAUGGACGAAAGUCUGAACGAGCAACGCCGCGUGAGUGAAGAAGGUUUUCGGAUCGUAAAACUCUGUUGGUAGAGAAGAACGUUGGUGAGAGUGGAAAGCUCAUCAAGUGACGGUAACUACCCAGAAAGGGACGGCUAACUACGUG